UGAUGAUACGGUGCAAAUGCAGGGAAACGGACAGGGAACGUCCAGCGUUUUCUCCUUCAACAUGUUCGAGUUCUCUGGAGGAAGCAGUGAAAUCUACCUGCACUGCAAACUGGAGCUGUGCCCCACACAGGGCCAGGCCUGCACUCCGAGCUGUGGGGGGGCAGCUCGCAGGAGGCGUAGAUCUGCUAAAUACGCUGAUGGGAACGCGGCCCUCAUCACUAUGGGAUGGAGAAACUGAAGAGCUUUGCAUGCUGAUUCCUGACGGUGGAAAUGAAGGUCUUGUUGCUGUGAAACUGAGCCGGCACAUUAUCUGAGAUUAUUCCUGAGGACUCCAGUUAUUC